UGUAAACAUUAAAAUAGGAAUAUAAGUAAUAAUGUAAACAAUUGGUUCAUGAAUUGUGACAAAUGCAUCAUACUAAUGUAAGAUGUUAAUAGCAGGGGAAACUGAAUAUGGAUAUAUGGGAACUCCCUGUACUGUCUGCAAUUUUUCUGUAAACCUAGAACUAUUCUAAAAUCAAAAGUUUAACCAAAACUGGAAUGAUACAGAGAAGAUUAGCAUGGCUCCUAUGCAAAGAUGACACAGAAAUUUGUAAAGCAUUACGUAUUUUUUAAAAAAGAAAAACAUUAUUCUAAGUGAAAUGGGCCGGUCACAGACGACUGCAUGUUGUAUGAUUUAUAUAAAAUGACAAGCUAUAAGUACAUCCUUAGAGACAGAAAGUAGAAUGGCGAUUGCCUGACUGGUAAUGGGAACAAGGCUUCUUUUGCGGUGAUGUAAUGUCCUAAAUUUAUUGUAGCGAUGAUUACACAACCCUAUGAACAUAUAAAAACAACAACAUUAAAUGGUACAAUGUAAAUGGGAGAAUUGCC
rnacentral:lncRNA from 1 species